rnacentral:lncRNA from 1 species
CUUGUAUUAUCCUCUUCUUUCAGAAUUCUCUUCUGCUGGAACACAUGGAGGCCUUACAAGGAGCAGUGCAAGUGCAGCAGUGACGUGACCUGAGCUGCCUUUGAUCCCUUCCUGUCCCAAGUGAUCACCUGAACAGAUGGAGCCCUAAGUCAUGGACUAAAUGAACCCUGCUGUCAUUGUGUAGACACUGAUGUGCAAACAAGAGGACAGAAGUGCUGAAGGCAGGGCAGGAUGUAAUUUUCUGUUGUAACUUCGGAGAUGUCAAAAGGCAGAUGCAUUUUCAGACAGCAGAGUUGACUAUUUUUAUUUUCAACAGAUAAAUGAUUCAUCCCAUGUAUUGCACCUUUGGAAAGCUCUCUUACUCGUGUGUGCCAAGAUAAAUUAUGAAGGCUAAUGAAUACAGAAGUACUUCUGAGUAGAGAAAACUUCCACUAUAUGUGUUCAGGAAAUGUGUGUUUG